rnacentral:rRNA from 1 species
AAUAUUGCACAAUGGGCGAAAGCCUGAUGGAGCAACGCCGCGUGAGUGAAGAAGGUUUUCGGAUCGUAAAACUCUGUUGUAAGGGAAGAACAAGUACAGUAGUAACUGGCUGUACCUUGACGGUACCUUAUUAGAAAGCCACGGCUAACUACGUGCCAGCAGCCGCGGUAAAACGUAGGAUCCGAGCGUUAUCCGAAUUCACUGGGCGUAAAGCGCAUGCAGGCGGCCGCACAAGUUGGAUGUGAAAUCUCCCGGCUCAACUGGGAGGGGACGUUCAAAACUGUGCGGCUCGAGGGCGGUAGAGGAAGGUAGAAUUCCCGGUGUAGUGGUGAAAUGCGUAGAUAUCGGGAGGAAUACCCGUGGCGAAGGCGACCUUCUGGACCGUUUCUGACGCUCAGAUGCGAAAGCUAGGGGAGCGAACGGG